AUACGUAGGGGGCAAGCGUUGUCCGGAUUUAUUGGGCGUAAAGAGCGUGUAGGCGGCCAGGUAGGUCAGCUGUGAAAACUCGAGGCUCAACCUCGAGAUGUCGGCUGAAACCAUCUGGCUAGAGUCCGGAAGAGGAGAAUGGAAUUCCCGGUGUAGCGGUGAAAUGCGCAGAUAUCGGGAAGAACACCCGUGGCGAAGGCGGUUCUCUGGGACGGUACUGACGCUGAGACGCGAAAGCGUGGGGAGCGAACA
rnacentral:rRNA from 1 species